rnacentral:rRNA from 1 species
GACGAGGGAUCCUAGCGUUGUUCGGAAUCAUUGGGCGUAAAGCGGAUGUAGGUGGCUUUGUAAGUCAGGUGUGAAAGCCCAGAGCUCAACUCUGGAAGUGCAUUUGAUACUGCGAAGCUUGAGUGUGGAAGAGGUAAGUAGAAUACCUGGUGUAGUGGUGAAAUACGUAGAUAUCAGGUGGAAUACCGGAGGCGAAGGCGGCUUACUGGUCCAACACUGACACUGAGAUCCGAAAGCGUGGGGAUCAAAC